rnacentral:rRNA from 1 species
CCUACGGGGGGCAGCAGUGGGGGAUAUUGCACAAUGGGGGGAACCCUGAUGCAGCGACGCCGCGUGGGUGAAGAAGCGCCUCGGCGCUUAAAGCCCUGUCAGCAGGGAAGCAAAUGACGGUACCUGUAGAAGAAGCCCCGGCCAACUACGUGCCAGCAACCGGGGCGAUACGUGGGGGGCAAGCGUUAUCCGGAUUUACCGGGGGUAAAGGGGGCGCAGACGGCGAUGCAAGCCAGGAGUGAAAGCCCGGGGGCCAACCCCGGGACUGCUCUUGAAACUGCGUGGCUGGAGUGCAGGAGGGGCAGGCGGAAUGCCUGGUGUAGCGGUGAAAUGCGUAGAUAUCAGGAGGAACACCGGUGGCGAAGGCGGCCUGCUGGACUGCAACUGACGUUGAGGCACGAAAGCGUGGGGAGCGAACAGGAUUAGAUACCCCAGUAGUC